GAGCGAAUCUUUGGUGAGCUUGCUCCCAAAGAUUAGCGGCGGACGGCUGAGUACACUGUGGGCAACCUGCCUAUAAGACUGGGAUACUUCGGGAAACCGGAGCUAAUACCGGAUAAUUCUUUUCUACACAUGUAGAAAAGCUAAAAGACGGUUUACGCUGUCACUUAUAGAUGGGCCCGCGGCGCAUUAGCUAGUUGGUGAGGUAACGGCUCACCAAGGCCACGAUGCGCAGCCGACCUGAGAGGGUGAUCGGCCACACUGGGACUGAGACACGGCCCAGACUCCUACGGGAGGCAGCAGUAGGGAAUCUUCCGCAAUGGACGAAAGUCUGACGGAGCAACGCCGCGUGAGUGAUGAAGGUUUUCGGAUCGUAAAACUCUGUUGUUAGGGAAGAACAAGUACGAGAGUAACUGCUCGUACCUUGACGGUACCUAACCAGAAAGCCAAGGCUAACUACGUGCCAGCAGCCGCGGUAAU
rnacentral:rRNA from 1 species